rnacentral:misc_RNA from 1 species
UGCAGUUGGUAGGCCCGAGUCGUUACCCCAACCGCAAGGGGGGGGAUGCCUAAGGUAGGACUGAUGACUGGGGUGAAGUCGUAACAAGGUAGCCGUACCGGAAGGUGUGGCUGGAUCACCUCCUUUUAGGGAGACCUAAUCCAUUUAGAAAUUCCGAGCAAUUUUCAUUGCUAGAAACUAAAUUGGUCUAACCUAGGUCGGUCGAGAUUGGUAGAUAUCUUUCAAAGUAUUAUUCGGCUUAGUUCAAAACUUAAAGUAUAAUAAAUGGAAAAAAGACAGCACCUAACUCUAAAAGUUAAACUGCUGGGUGAAAUUCCAGCCUCAACCUUGAAACUUGCAUACUACAACGAAAAACAGCAGGCAGACACAGACAUGAGAGUGUUUCGUGAAUGCAAAAAAAAAUUGUGGUCAAGCUAAUAAGGGCUAAUGGUGGAUACCUAUACACACAAAGACAGAGA